CGUGUAGGCGGUGUGGUAAGUCGGAUGCGAAAUCUCCAGGCUUAACCUGGAAACUGCAUUCGAAACUGCCAUGCUUGAGUACCGGAGAGGGAGACGGAAUUCCUGGUGUAGGGGUGAAAUCUGUAGAUAUCAGGAAGAACACCGGUGGCGAAGGCGGUCUCCUGGCCGGAUACUGACGCUGAGGCGCGAAAGCUAGGGGAAGCAAACA
rnacentral:rRNA from 1 species